CCCUUAGAUGUUCUGGGCCGCACGCGCGCUACACUGACGAAGUCAGCGAGCAUGUCCUACGCCGACAGGUGCGGGGAAUCUUGUCAAACUUCGUCGUGAUGGGGAUUGAUUUUUGAAAUUCUUGAUCAUAAACGAGGAAUUCCUAGUAAGCGCAAGUCAGCAGCUUGCGUUGAUUACGUCCCUGCCCUUUGUACACACCGCCCGUCGCUACUACCGAUUGAAUGGUUUAGUGAGAUCUUCGGAUUGGCGCCACUGCAGCUCAGCAAUGGGCCUGGUGGAUGCCGAAAAGUUGAUCAAACUUGAUCAUUUAGAGGAAGUAAAAGUCGUAACA
rnacentral:rRNA from 1 species